rnacentral:rRNA from 1 species
GCAGCAGUAGGGAAUCUUCCGCAAUGGACGAACAGUCUGACGGAGCAACGCCGCGUGAGUGAUGAAGGCUUUCGGGUCGUAAAACUCUGUUGUUAGGGAAGAACAAGUGCUAGUUGAAUAAGCUGGCACCUUGACGGUACCUAACCAGAAAGCCACGGCUAACUACGUGCCAGCAGCCGCGGUAAUACGUAGGUGGCAAGCGUUAUCCGGAAUUAUUGGGCGUAAAGCGCGCGCAGGUGGUUUCUUAAGUCUGAUGUGAAAGCCCACGGCUCAACCGUGGAGGGUCAUUGGAAACUGGGAGACUUGAGUGCAGAAGAGGAAAGUGGAAUUCCAUGUGUAGCGGUGAAAUGCGUAGAGAUAUGGAGGAACACCAGUGGCGAAGGCGACUUUCUGGUCUGUAACUGACACUGAGGCGCGAAAGCGUGGGGAGCAAACAGGAUUAGAUACCCUGGUAGUCCACGCCGUAAACGAUGAGUGCUAAGUGUUAGAGGGUUUCCGCCCUUUAGUGCUGAAGUUAACGCAUUAAGCACUCCGCCUGGGGAGUACGGCCGCAAGGCUGAAACUCAAAGA